CCACUCCCUCCAUUCUCUAAGUCCAGGUCUGGCUUACUUUUUCUUUCAUCUGUAGGGCUGGGUAAGAAGGAAGACACGUCUAAAGGGAAUCUUCCCCCUCAGGACUGUGCAUGGGCCAAGGGAGCAAGACACAGGCAGGGAUGCUCCUCAGAUUUACUCUGGAGGAUGACGCAGGUCCUCUGAUCCCCUGGGAACACCUGUCACCCUCAGCCCCUGGGGCUCAUCUCCUCUAUGACAGAGGACACUGCGGGGAGUUACUGCUGCCUCUACAAGAGCCUGUCUGGCUUGUCCAGGGCCACUGAGGCCCUGGAACCGGUGAUGGCAGCUCAUUUUACAGAUGAGGAACCUGAGGAAACAGGAUUAAAUGACUUGCCUAGGAUCAGAGAGCUAAUAAGUGUUUGAACUCUGGAUAAUGGGCUUUCCUAUUUCCAGGUUUGACACUCUAUCCACUAUGGCGCCCCCAACUGCCCACCUGAAAGAUGAAUGUUCCUGACUCCAGGUUUGACACUCUAUCCACUAUGGCGCCCCCAACUGCCCACCUGAAAGAUGAAUGUUCCUGACUCCAGGUUUGACACUCUAUCCACUAUGGCGCCACCUAGCUGCCCCCUGAAAGAUGAAUGUUCCUGACUCCAGGUUUGGCACUCUAUCCACUAUGGCGCCACUUAGCUGCCCACCUGAAAGAUGAAUGUUCCUGACUCCAGGUUUGGUACUCUAUCCACUAUGGCGCCACCUAUCUGCCCACCUGGAAGAUGAGUGUCCAAACUCCUUUAGCUCUAUGCGCUAUGGUGCCCUCUAGCUGCCCAGGUUUAGGAAAGGAAUGCCAAAGCAAAGUGUCAUCAUUUUGCAAUUUCAUAUGAGGCAAGAAGAGAAGCAGUGUCUGAGAUGCAUCUGAAGCAAGCCUUGCACCACUCCUCCAAAGUGGCAGCUUCCAGGAAUCAUAUGGAACUCUGUAGGGUCUUACAACAUUUAAAGCCAGGUCCAGCCCCCACACUGCCUCACACAAGAAAAGCUUUCUGUGUCUGGUUUUCUUUUGUUUUGUUUUCAAAGGCUUCACCAUCAGAAGUAGAUUUCCAGGUUUUGCAAGUUUGGGAAUUUGCUGCUCCCAAAUAAGCUCCCAGACUCCACUCAUCAACAUGUUGGUGACAAGAUCCACUUUUGGAAUAUUUCUAUUUGCAGCGUUGUCAAAGCACUCUAUUAAAAAUGAUAAUAACAGUAA